UGACUUAAGCAUAUCAAUAAGCGGAGGAAAAGAGAGACAACAGGGAUGCCCCAGUAACGGCGAGUGAAGCGGCAGGAGCUCAAAUUUGAAAUCUGGGGUCGCGAGGCCUCCGAGUUGUAAUUUGGAGAGGCAUCUCCCGGGGGGAACGCCGGCCCAUGUUCCUCGGAACAGGACGUCACAGAGGGUGAGAAUCCCGUGCCAGGCCGGCUGCCUCCUCUCGGGUGGAGGGCCUUCGACGAGUCGAGUUGUUUGGGAAUGCAGCUCCAACUGGGUGGUAAAUUUCAUCUAAAGCUAAAUACCGGCGGGAGACCGAUAGCGCACAAGUAGAGUGAUCGAAAGAUGAAAAGCACUUUGAAAAUAGAGUCAAAAAGUACGUGAAAUUGUUGAAAGGGAAGCGCUUGAGACCAGACUCGGGCCCCGGGCAAACAUCGCGCCCCUCGGGGCCGUGCAAUUGCCCGGGCCCGGGCCAGCAUCAGUAGGCCCGGCGGGACAAAGGCGUGGGGAAUGUGGCUCCCCUCGGGGAGUGUUAUUAGGCCCGCGCUCAAUGCCGCCGGCGCCGACUGAGGACCGCGCCCCGGCUAGGAUGCUGGCUUAAUGGCCUUCAGCGACCCGUCUUGAAACACGGACCAAGGAGUCUAACAUCUAUGCGAGUGUUUGGGCGCCAAACCCUUGCGCGUAAUGAAAGUGAGCGGAGGUGGGAACCCCCCAGCGGGGCGCACCAUCGACCGAUCCUGAUGUCUUCGGAUGGAUUUGAGUAGGAGCAUAGCUGUUGGGACCCGAAAGAUGGUGAACUAUGCCUGAAUAGGGUGAAGCCAGAGGAAACUCUGGUGGAGGCUCGCAGCGGUUCUGACGUGCAAAUCGAUCGUCAAAUUUGGGUAUAGGGGCGAAAGACUAAUCGAACCAUCUAGUAGCUGGUUCCUGCCGAAUUCCCCCUCAGGAA
rnacentral:rRNA from 1 species